GCUUCGUUAGCGCAGUAGGUAGCGCGUCAGUAUCAUAAUCUGAAGGUCGUGAGUUAGAUCCUCACACGGGGCA
rfam:Salmo salar isolate Sally breed double haploid chromosome ssa16, whole genome shotgun sequence.